UAGCUCACUGCCCCUUUCCACAGAGGAAAGCAGAAGGGGAGUGGGGCAUGCGCUUGCUGCAUCCCCAUCCAUCUUACGUGCCUGCUGUGAGGAGCACAUCUUCAGAGCUCCUUCACUGAUGGCCCUGUGCUUAUGUUACCUUCCUUUGGAUGCAAAAUUUGAGAAGUGACAAUAAAAAUAAAGCCACGGCCACUUUCAUGCCUCUUUCUUCAGCUGAACCUGCCUACUGGAGGGUAGAAGUCAUUUCAGUGUAGUCCGGGUCUGUGGUGGUAUGUGAUCCUGAGAAAAGCCACUGCCCUGUGCUGGAGGAUAUGUUGUCUCUUGUUAAGCCUCUUCUUCCACCUGCUCUCUCUACUGCUACCGGUCCCUAGGUCUUCCUCUGGAUAUUGCCUGUGGUACACUUAGGUGAGGGUUACAGGAAUGUAAAGAGAACAGCCACAUACACAGCGUGCCUCUUCUGGGAGCACAUCUUACUGCCUGGAUCACAAGGUCUUCAAAGCAAGGACUGUCCCACUGGUCUCUUUGCUGCUGCGCUUGCUUUUCUUGUGCCACACUGCAAAAAGCCUGUGCUUAUAUAAUCCUAACAACAGUAGCAUAACCCUAACCACUGGAUUAGCUGUGUUCAUUUAAGAGGGUGCUUCAAGCUCAUGAAGAUUUGAUUCUUUCAAGACAGGCAUCGAGUUCUGCCAUAUUUCACUAGGAAAAUAAGGUUUUGGCAGGUAGCAGUCUGGAGGGAGGAAAGGUGGUCUGGAAUACCCCACAGGCAUAGGAGGAAAUGGGUUUUACUGGCACUGAAUUCCCAGCCUCCUUUCCUUUCCGAAUUGAGGAAAAAAGCCACACUGAAACCCCAAAAUUUAGACUGUGUGCAAUUUGAUGUGAAUAUGUGAAUUCACAAGCGAUCACAGGAAGAAGGUGGAAUGAUAUUAUUAGUGAGGGAAUAUGUGGAAAUAAAAUGCAACAGUUUUCUGAUUCUGAUUCAAUUUGAAAGUGUCUGAAAGACUGAAGUGUGUUUUCCUUCUUUAUGUUGUUCACCAAAAUCUAUCGAAAAAGCUUUUCAAAAACAUUUUAGUAGUUAAAAUGAGUUAAAACUUUAAAAUGAGAUCACACAUAUUAAUA